GACGAACGCUGGCGGCGUGCUUAACACAUGCAAGUCGAACGCUGAAGCUCAGCUUUUGUUGGGUGGAUGAGUGGCGAACGGGUGAGUAACACGUGAGUAACCUGCCUCCUUCUUUGGGAUAACGCCCGGAAACGGGUGCUAAUACUGGAUCUUCACUGGUCUUCGCAUGGGGGUUGGUGGAAAGGGUUUUUCUGGUGGUGGAUGGGCUCGCGGCCUAUCAGCUUGUUGGUGGGGUGAUGGCCUACCAAGGCUUUGACGGGUAGCCAGCCUGAGAGGGUGACCGGGCACAUUGGGACUGAGAAAAGGCCCAGAGGAGGACGGGAGGCAGCAGAGGGGAAAAUUGCAGAAUGGGCGAAAGACUGAUGCAGCGACGGCGAGGGAGGGAUGGAGGCCUUCGGGUUGUGAACCUGUGUCGGAAAUGGUGAAGCCGAAAAAAUGGUUGUGGUGAGGGUAGUGGGUAAAGAAGCGCCGGCUAACUACGUG
rnacentral:rRNA from 1 species